UAUUUGUUACUAAUAAACUAUCAUCAAAUAUUUUUAAAUAAAAAUGUGUGAAAAAGAAUAUCGCAAUUUUCUUAGAACGUGAAUUCUGAUUUCAGCUAUUGGACAUCAUAACAAAACAUGAAUCAUACACAACUAGUAACUAAUGGUAUGUUAGUGGCAAUGUCAUAUUUGAAGCACAACAUGACGUAAAUUAGUUUUUCAGACUCUUUAAAUUAUUUUUUUUGCUGUUUAACCAGUUUGGAUCUAAGUCCCGACAGUUAGCACGUUAGUCCGGUAACCGACGUCUAGCUACCCUAAAUAUUAGUCAAAAAGUAUUUCAAACCCGAAUCUAUUAAUAUGAUAAUCUAAUAUAGCUUUAAAUGCAUUCUUUUUAGGAUCGUCAGAAUCAACCGCUAGAUGCAUCAAAAAAGACGGGAAUUAUAAACCGCAAAUUUCAGCAUAUAUGCCAUAUAUAUAAGUCAGAUAUGUCGAUCAUAAUAAAAAAAAUAACUUUUUCAAUAUUAUAGAUGAUGAAAAUGUAAAAGUGUAGUACAAAAUUCAUAAAAAUAUCUAAUACCAAUUAAUUUGUAUAAAAUAUCUAAUAUCAAUUAAAAUUAUCUUAUGCGUUAUUAAGUUAUUGGCUCAAUAGAGAGUGAUGCACAUGUUGAAUUCCAGAAACUUACGUAUGGCUUCAUAAUUAAGAGUGGUUUAUAAGACCAAUAUAUUUGUUCAAACUGCAGUGAUUGCUAUGUAUGCUAAAUGCAUAUACUUUAAAACUGCAAGUACUAUGUUACAAGAUAUGGAAGUUGGUGAUGUGGUUUCUUGGAAUUCGAUGGUUGUUAAGUGUGCUAGAGAAGUAAAGCAGUGUAGAUCAAACAACCUCGUUCUUGAACCAUCCUAGUUAAAUCAACAAUCUUUUCUUUUUUUGUUAAUUUUAUUUUCCAACUUUUAUGUUAUAUCUAUAAAAUUUAGGAAUUUUAAUUUAAAAUCAACGGUUAAAUGAAACUAAUAUCAUCACAGUUUGGUAUAAUCCAUUGUUCUAAAAACGUGUUCUGCACGGCCGCGUACUCGCCGGAAAACCAUAAGUCAGCUGGUCACCACCGCGAUUUGAUACUAUUUGCUCAGUUAAUCACCAAAAUUUAUAAGUUCAUUGCUUUAUAGAUUUUAAAUUUGAUAUCACAUUCUAAGUUAUAGUUUUUUUGUAUUAUUUAGACCAAAACUUACAAAAUUAAUAUGAAAAAGACUGAAAUCGCAAAAAAUAAUAAUUACAAAACAGCUGCAGAUUUUGCAUGAAGAAGGUGGAAGACGAGGGCAAUUUUGUCAAUUACCAUUUCAUUUAACCUAAUUCUAAAAUUAUUGUCCAAAAUGUUCAACGUGACAGUCAAAUCCGUGUUGGGCAGGCUAAUUAAGCUCAACAAAGACCACUACACAAUGCAUCAAAGACAUGAUACUUAAACUUAUUUAAUAUAUAAUCAUAUAUUUAUUUAGAAACCCUAAAAUAACUCUUCGAUUAAUCUCCAUAAAUCUCUGAUUAAUUGAUUACGCGCUAGGUCCUAUCCGGCCGCACAUAUAACGUUUAGCGUAGCUUUGAACUGAGGGUAUAAUAUAUGUUAUUGGGUUGUAGAAUAUAAUAUUCUUAAUGGCAAUACUAGGAAUUUCUCUAGAAAAUAUAUUAUAUUUUGAAAUAUCGUGUGCUUGUCAGUCAGUAAGGGUAAGUUUUAUUAUUAUGACACCUUAGCUUGGUAAUAUGAUAGUAAGGUUGUGUAAUUAAAAUGAUUCUCACAUAAUAGAUAGAAAGUUUUGAUUCAAAUUCUAACUUGGUUUUUGAAUAAAUUCAUUUUCAAAUUAGAUGCUUUUCAUUUUAAAUGGAGAAUGGCUAAAAUUAUCACAGUAACUGACAUAAAAAUAUGUGUAUUGAAGGCAAAAAAUAUAAAAAUAAAGACAUUCUUUUUAGUCAAACUUCUAUUAAUUUAUAUAGUUUAACAAAUUGGUUAUUUCUAUCUAGAGCAUCCUAUUUAAACGAACAAUCGAAUCUUUUAUACUAUUAAACUUGGAAAUUAGAAUUUAAAUUCAACUGAUAAUGAAUACAUAUUGACUUACCUUACUAUAAAAUCUAUCAGUUUUAAUUAAUUUCAAGAUAUUUUUCCUAUUUGUUUUUCAUGAUUUGUUUGUAUGAAUCAUCUUCUUUAUUAUAAGUUUACUCUUGAUUUCUUUCUAUGUUUUUCAAAUAAGAAAUCUAAACAAUAAGAUUAUAGAGUUACAAAAUAUAUAACACUAAAAUCUAAAUCAUAUAUAUUUUAUGAUAUUUAGAAUAAUAUCAAAGUUAUAUAUUUAUAAAAAUAUAUAUAUCCGCAUGGAUGUGCGGGUUUAGACUCUAGUGUAUAAUUAAUUAACGGAGCAUUAAUAAUAGUUAUAUAAAACGAUAUGUGUACAUGAGAUAAUAUAAAUUAUAAAAAUGUAACUAUAAAUUUAAGAACUAUAUUAAUGCCCUCAAGUACGGACUGUGCACCUUAUUCUUAAACCAUCCUAGUUAAAUCAACAAUCUUUUCUUCUUUUUUUGGUUAAAAACACUAUCAAGUAUCAAUACUUUGAUAUUAUAUUUUUUUAAUUUAAAAAUUCUAUUUUAAUUUAAAAUCAGUUGUGAAUGACUAUAUUAACAUGCAUAUUUUCACAUUUAAUAAAUAAAAUUCUAACAAUAUCAGUUAUCAUUUAAAUUUUUCAUUAUUAAAACUUUAAUAUCUUUCCUGUUUUAUACUUCAAAGAAUUUUCAAAAUCUGUUUAAUGCAUGUUAUUAAUAAAAUACAAUUAAUUACUCCAUCUGUUUAAUAUUAGUGUCGUCUAAAAAAAUUACCUCAUUUAAUAUAUAUAUAUAUAUAUAUAUUUGAUUUUUUAAUUAAUAGAUUAAAAUAAAGAUAAAGCUGAAAUUUUUAUUUAAUAUAUAUUGAAAAUAUAAAACAACACGUAUAAUGAAAUAAAAUUUCAAAAUUAAAACAACACUUAAUAUAAAACGAAAAGAGUAUGUUUUAUUAAGUUCUUAUUUAUUUUAUUUUUAGUUAAUUCAAGAUAUUUUUCCUUACUAGGUUAUGACUUUUUUUUUGUUUCAUGUAUCUAAUUAAUUACAAGUUGACUCUAAUUAAUUAAAACCAAAAACGUUGAUUCUCCUUUUUCUACUUGUAAUAUUUGCGGUACUUUGUAUAUAUAUUUAUACAUCUUAUUUGUUAUGUCUAAGAUAUUUACGAAUACAAAGCAACUACAUCAGUUCUUUAUUUUUUUUCAUUCUUGUUGUAUCAUUUGAAAUGGCUAAGCCAACUAUUCUUGCUAUUUUCAUGAUUGUUCUUGUUUUAGGUUUGUUCUACACUUCAGUAUUUUUAUAUUUUCUCCUUUGCUUCGUAAUGUUUAUUUGUUUAUAACCUUUCUGAUUUAUAACAAAAUAAUGGAAAUGAUACUAAUAUAUAUAUUUAAAUACUUAUUUAGGAACGGUGACGAUGGAGUCACAAGGACAAGAAUUGUGUCAUGAAUAUUUUGUUGAAUCAGGAAUUUGUGAUCCUAAACAUUGUGCUGAUCGGUGUACUGACAAGUGGAAAGGAUCUGGCAAGUGUUUUAAUGGAACCAAAAUCUGCGGCUGCACUUUCAAAUGUAAAACUUAGUUUAUAUUUGUUAUUUAUGUUAUCAUAAAAUAUACUACUCUUUUAAUAAAAUGGACUGAAAAAUUAUAAUGCAAAUUUUAUGCAAAUGUGAGUUCUAAUUUCAGUUAUUUAACAUCAUAAUAUGAACUAUAGACUGCAAAUUUUAGCAUAUGUGCCAUAUUCAGAUGUGUCCAUCAUAAUCAAUACAAGCAAUAAAAUUGCAAUGUCACUAUGAAUAUAGAGAUUCAAUGUUAUACAAGUUUGGAUGAUCCAAUAGCACUGUCCUUGGGAAAAUUAUUUUGCCGCAGACUGUAUGCAUGGCACUAAUAAAAAUCUAAAUUACGAUGAUUUUUAUUACUAUGGAAGUUUCGGAUCUUAGAUCCAUAAUUUCUCAUAAGUCCGAAGUGAGCUUACUAAAUUUUUUGUUGGUUAAAAAAAGUGAGCUUUCUUAUUUAAAAAAUAAUCUUGCUAAUAUUAGUUUAGAUUAUCAAAAAACAACUCUUUACACAACCAUUAGACUACCAUUAGCGGUAUCAUCUUUUGAACAAGCCCUGAAGGGUUCAUCGAACCUCAUCUGCCUCUCCCCUACUGGUGUCUCUGUGAAUCAUUUUGCUUGGGUAUGCUGGUGCGUUUGGACAGCAAGAAACUCGUUGGUUUUUGAGAACCGGGAUCUCUCCCCAUCGGACAUAAUCGUUAAAGCCAUCGGCCAAGCUCGAGAAUGGCAGGACGCACAACCACAGAAAACUCAACUGCUAGCUCCACAUGACACAGUCGAGCCAAUUACCAGGACUUGAAUGAUGCAGUUACUUUGUUUACAGAUGCGGCUUGGCGAUUUGGGGAUAUAUAAGCUAGCAGGCUGUGGUUGGCACUACAUGGAUCCUUACACAUGUAUACAAGAACAAGGAUCAUCGACUGAAGCUCAUGGGCCGUCACCUCUAAUGGCGGAAGCUAUUGCUGUCCAGCAGUCCAGGAAACUCUCUUGCAUGCUAAAUCACGUCAACUCUCCAAAAUCUGCCUAAAAUCAGAUAAUCAAGUGCUCAUCAACGCAUUAAUCUCAAAUCAAAGUCCAGUAUACCUUUACAGAAUCAACUUGGAUAUCGAGAAUCUAACUUCUUCGUAUUGCUGAAUUUCUCUUAUGUUUUUAGGAGCCUCAAUUGCAUAGCUGAUUCAUUAGCUAAAUCUGCUAUGUAUGGUUUGAACUCUUCUAUGCCUCCUUAAGGCUUUCUCUUUCAAUGAAUUGAUAGUUCAAAAAAAAAGACUACCUCCUGGAUUACAAUGAUUUUGUAAUGAAACUUAUACUUGUUAAACAUACCUGGAACAUGUAUUAAUAAUUUCAACUAGUUUUUUCACUAAUACUAGAUAUUUUCCUGCACCAUGUACAUAAAUAAAAAAAUUUAAUUUAAAUGAUAUUUAAAAAUUGAAAUUGAAAUCGAUGUAAGUUACCACGUGGUUAAUGUAGUGUGAAAACAUUAAAUGACAAUAAUCAUCUUUUAAUAUAUAGGAGAUCUGUUGGUUUUAAUUAAUUUCAAAAUAUUUUUUCUAUUUGUUUUCCACGAUUUGUUUGCAUGAUUCAUCUUAUUUAUUAUAAGUUGACUCUCAAUUUAUUUUUAUUUUUUCAAUUUGUGGUACUUUUGAAAAAUAUCUACACAUCUAAUUUGUUAUAUAUAAGAUAUUCACGGAUGCAAUACAAUCUCAUCACUGUUUUUUACUUUAAAGUUUUCACUUUUUGUUGCAUCAUCAAAAAUGGCUAAAACCACAAUUCUUGCUAUUUUUAUGGUUGUUCUUGUUUUAGGGAUGGUGAUGGAGUCGCAAGAACAAGAAUCUUGUCGUGAUUAUAUAAGAGGAACAGAAAUUUGCCAAGCUAAACAAUGUGAUGAUCAGUGUACAUUCAAGUAUAAUGGAUAUGGCAAGUGCUUAGCAGGCACAGUGUGCCUCUGCACAUUUAUUUGUAAAACUUAAUUUUCAUUUGUUAUUAAUAAACUAUUAUCAAAUAAAUUAAAUAAAAACAUGAUAAAAAAUAAAUUGCAAUUUUCUUAGAAUGUGAAUUCUGAUUUCAGCUAGUGGACAUCAUAAUCUUUAAAAUAAAGUUGUAACUAUUUAACUAAUUUUGAUCUAAGUCCAACAAUUAAAAAAAUAUUCAAACACAAAUCGAGUAAUGUGGUAAUCUAAUAUAUCAUUAAGGGCAUUCUUUCUAAAAUUGUCGGAAUUAACCGUAAAUGGAUAAAAAAGGCAUGAACUAUAAACUGUAAAUUUCAGCAUAUAUGCCAUACAAGUCAGAUAUGUCGAUCGUAAUCAAAGCUAGAAUAAUUUUUCAAUAUUAUAGAUGGUGAUAAUUUGUAGUAAAGAGAAAUUGAUGAUGUGGAUUUCUUGGAACUCGAUGGUUGUUGAGUGUGUUAGAGAAGGUCUUAAAGAAGAAGCUCUAUCCUUGUUCGGAAGAAUGCAUAGGCGAGACAUGAAGAUAGAUGAUUUCACAAUCCCAUCCAUUUUAAACUGUUUCGCUUCGUCUAGAACAGAAACGAAUAUAGCUUCUUUUGUGCAUUGUCUGAUAGUGAAAACUAGAUAUGGAACUUACAAGCUGGUGAAUAACGCUCUUGUGGAUACGUAUGCUAAGGAGCUUUUGGUUUAGCUUACCAUAGUGAUAAACUAGCUGGUUAUUUACGGAUAUGAGUUUUGCACUCCAUGACUUGGAUAAGGAAGGCAAAGGAGCUUUUGGUUUAGCUUACCAUAGUGAGAAACUAGCUGUAGCGUUUGGUCUACUUGCUGAACCAUCUGGAGCUCCGAUUCGGAUCACCAAGAACCUCCGUGUCUGUGUCUGUGGGGAUUGCCACAAUGCAAUGAAGUAUAUAUCUAGAGUAUACCUCAGGCAUAUCAUCUUAACAAAUUCUAACUGUUUUCAUUUCUUUAGAGAUGUAAACUGUUAUUGUGGAGAGACUAUUAGUAAACAUUUUGCAUAUAAGAAGAAGAGAAAAAACUCGGAAAAUUCUGCAUUUUCUGUCUGCAACAAUGGAGUCUACAAAGUUACAAACUUAACAAAUCAUACACUUUUGGAACUGCUAGUGCAAGGUGGUUGCAGAGGUCAAUGAGGGUUCAUAACCAGAACAAUGCCAAAAAAAAAA